rnacentral:rRNA from 1 species
AUGCCAACCCAAAGGGAAAACGUACUUUGCCCGAAGGCGCUUUCAGAAAACGUUUCAAAUAAAAGAGGAGAGGCUGACGAGGGGGUCCCGCAUGUCAGGUUUAAAAUCCCACAACCGGCCAAUGCAAACGAUGAUCGCCGACGACAAUCGACGGUGAUCCGGAGGAGGGCAAGGCUAUGGUUGCACUCACGGGACAAUUCCGCAUCGGUGGGUGGUGGAUUUGGUCAUCGGCGAGCACCAUGCCGACGGCGGCUUCCACUCCAGCGGACGGCGGUUCGGUCGAGGAUGGAUCCCUCCGAAGAGAGCUGCAAACGCCAAAUUGAAGCGCGGGUUAGGGGAGUGGGUGCACUAGGAGGUUCCUCCCCAAGUUUGAGCUAG